AUUGAACGCUGGCGGCAGGCCUAACACAUGCAAGUAGAACGAGUGGCGGACGGGUGAGGAAGGGCUGGGAAACGGCCUGAUGGAGGGGGAUGAGUACUGGAAAAGGUAGCUAAUACCGCAUACUGUCAGAUGUGCCCAGGUGGGAUGAGCUAGUGGGUGGGGUAACGGCUCACCAAGGAGACGAUCCCUAGCUGGUCUGAGAGGAUGACCACCCACACUGGAAUUGAGCCCCGCUCCCGCUUCCUACGGGAGCCAGCAGUGGGGAAUAUUGCACAAUGGGCGCAAGCUGGCUGCAGCCCUGCCGCGUGUAUGAAGAAGGCCUUCGGGUUGUAAAGUCCUUUCAGCGGGGAGGCGUUACCCGCAGAAGAAGCACCGGCUAACUCCGUGCCAGCAGCCGCGGUAAUUC
rnacentral:rRNA from 1 species